AUGAUUGUAAAGGAGCUGGGACUGGAGAAAUUUAUUACCCACAGAAUACCAUUUUCAAAGCUUUUGAUUACAUGCUCAAAGGGGGAGUCCAUCAGAUGUAUCAUCAAAAUGGAUGAUUGUUUAUGCAGGUUUUCUUUUGGUAUGAAACAUGGACUGAGGCUUGGACAUAACCAGGUUGGAACGGGGCAAUCUUGGAAGAUAGUGGCUUGA